AUUUUUUUCCCCCCCCGGUUGUUAAACUUUAASSWSAMRKWAGUAUUUGUUGGUUAUAGUUAUGAUGUUUAGUAAGAAGAAAAUUAAAAAAAUAAAGGGUGAAAUCAAUAUUAUUUAAUUAUUAAUAAAAGUGUUACUAAAUUUGAGACUAAUUUUUUUUGGGGAUGAACUAGGAUUAGAUACCCUAUUACACCAAAAGGUGACAUAAAAGAGCCUAAUUAUUUAUAGAUAUGUUCUUGAAAUUUGAAGAAUUUGGCGGUGAUUUAGUCUUGUCAGAGGAACUUGUUUUUUAAUCGAUAAACCACGUAGAAUCUUGCUCGUUUUUGUUUUCAGUCUAUAUACCAUCAUUAUUAGAUAAUCUUAUUAGAGAGGUAAUUAUUAAACUUUAUAGAGAAUUAAAAUUAGAUCAAGGUGUAGCUAAUAAACGAGUUAAAAUGAGUUACAAUAAAAUUUAUUUAUAUGGAUUUAUUAAUGAAAUUUUAAAAAUAAAAGUGGAUUUGAUUGUAAUAAGAGUUUAAUAAGCUUAAAAGAUAUAAGUUCUAAAUUAUGUACAUAUCGCCCGUCGCWYUMMKUUUAAGGAUGAGAUAAGCAACAAAAAAAAGAAGAGAGAA
rnacentral:rRNA from 1 species